rnacentral:rRNA from 1 species
GAUGAACGCUGGCGGCGUGCCUAAUACAUGCAAGUCGAGCGAACGGACGAGAAGCUUGCUCCUCUGACGUUAGCGGCGGACGGGUGAGUAACACGUGGAUAACCUACCUAUAAGACUGGGAUAACUUCGGGAAACCGGAGCUAAUACCGGAUAAUAUAUUGAACCGCAUGGUUCAAUAGUGAAAGACGGUUUUGCUGUCACUUAUAGAUGGAUCCGCGCCGCAUUAGCUAGUUGGUAAGGUAACGGCUUACCAAGGCAACGAUGCGUAGCCGACCUGAGAGGGUGAUCGGCCACACUGGAACUGAGACACGGUCCAGACUCCUACGGGAGGCAGCAGUAGGGAAUCUUCCGCAAUGGGCGAAAGCCUGACGGAGCAACGCCGCGUGAGUGAUGAAGGUCUUCGGAUCGUAAAACUCUGUUAUUAGGGAAGAACAAAUGUGUAAGUAACUAUGCACGUCUUGACGGUACCUAAUCAGAAAGCCACGGCUAACUACGUG